rnacentral:rRNA from 1 species
GGACGAACGCUGGCGGCGUGCUUAACACAUGCAAGUCGAACGGAGAUAUUAAUGAAGCUUGCGAUUUAAUAUCUUAGUGGCGGACGGGUGAGUAACGCGUGAGCAACCUACCCAUAAGAGGGGGAUAACAGUUGGAAACGACUGCUAAUACCGCAUAAGCUGGUUGAGACACAUGUUUUAAUCAGUAAAGAUGGCCUCUGAAUAUGCUAUCACUUAUGGAUGGGCUCGCGUCUGAUUAGCUAGUUGGUGGGGUAACGGCCUACCAAGGCGACGAUCAGUAGCCGGCCUGAGAGGGUGGACGGCCACACUGGGACUGAGACACGGCCCAGACUCCUACGGGAGGCAGCAGUGGGGAAUAUUGCGCAAUGGGGGAAACCCUGACGC